GAUGGCCUAGUGGUUAGAGCGUCCGCCUCGGAUACGGAAGAUCAUGGGGUUAGAAUCCCGGCCAAGUCA